AGAGUUUGAUCCUGGCUCAGGAUGAACGUUGGCGGUGUGCCUAAUACAUGCAAGUCGAACGGUGACGAUUUUGUAGCAAUACGAAUGAAAUCAUAGUGGCGAACGGGUGAGUAACGCGUUGGUGAUCUGCCUCGAAGUGUGGAAUAACUUCCCGAAAGGGUAGCUAAUACCGCAUAGUCUCUCAAGGUUUAGAAAAUUGAGAGUAAAGGAUUUAUUCGCUUCGAGAGGAGCCUGCGUCCCAUCAGCUAGUUGGUAGGGUAAUAGCCUACCAAGGCAAUGACGGGUAGGGGACCUGAGAGGGUGGCCCCCCACAAUGGAACUGAAACACGGUCCAUACACCUACGGGUGGCAGUAGUAGGGAAUAUUAGAAAUGGGCGAAAGCCUGAUCUAGCAACACCGCGUGUGCGAUGAAGGCCUUCGGGUUGUAAAGCACUUUUUGGAGGGAAUAGGAAGGAAGGUACCUCCAGAAUAAGUCUCGGCUAACUACGUGCCAGCAGCCGCGGUAACACGUAGGAGGCAAACGUUAUCCGGAUUCACUGGGCGUAAAGCGCGUGUAGGUGGUUCUGUAAGUAGGGCGUGAAAGCUCCCGGCUCAACUGGGAGAGGCCGUACUAAACUGCAGAGCUAGAGGAUGGUAGAGGGAGGUGGAAUUCCAGGUGUAGUGGUGAAAUGCGCAGAUAUCUGGAGGAACACCAGUGGCGAAGGCGGCCUCCUGGACCAUUCCUGACACUCAGACGCGAAAGCUAGGGUAGCAAACAAAAGUAGAGACUCCGGUAGUCCUAGCCCUAAACGAUGCAGGCUAGGGGUCGGCGGGUUAAUUCACCGUCGGGGUGCAAGCUAACGCGAUAAGUCUCCCGCCCGAGGACUACGGCCGCAAGGCUAAAACUCAAAGGAAUUGACGGGUCCCCGCACAAGCAGCGGAGCGUGUGGUUUAAUUCGAUGCUCCGCGAAGAACCUUACCUGGGUUUGACAUAACAGUGGUAGAGAAGUGAAAACGGAUCGACCCUUCGGGGAGCUGUUACAGGUGUUGCAUGCCUGUCGUCAGCUCGUGUCGUGAGAUGUUCGGUUAAGUCCGCUAACGAGCGCAACCCGCGCUGUGUGUUACAAGUGUCACACAGUACCGCCGGUAUUAAGUCGGAGGAAGGUGCGGAUGACGUCAAGUCAGCAUGACCUUUAUAUCCAGGGCUACACACACGCUACAAUGGUCAGAACAAUAGGUUGCCAAGCCGCAAGGCGGAGCCAAUCCUCCAAAUCUGGCCUCAGUUCAGAUUGCAGGCUGCAACUCGCCUGCAUGAAGUCGGAGUUGCUAGUAACCGCAGGUCAGCAUACUGCGGUGAAUAAAAUGCCGGGGAUUGUACUCACCGCCCGUCA
rnacentral:rRNA from 1 species